rnacentral:rRNA from 1 species
AACGAACGCUGGCGGCAUGCUUAACACAUGCAAGUCGAACGGAUAGCUUGCUAUCAGUGGCGCACGGGUGAGUAACACGUGGGAACCUACCUUUUAGUUUGGGAUAACUUUGGGAAACUAAGGCUAAUACCGGAUACGCUUUGCAGCUUGGCGCUGUAAAGGAAAGAUUUAUCGCUAAAAGAUGGGCCCGCGGUGGAUUAGCUUGUUGGUGGGUAAAGGCUUACCAAGGCAACGAUCCAUAGCUGGUCUGAGAGGAUGAUCAGCCACACUGGGACUGAGAUACGGCCCAGACUCCUACGGGAGGCAGCAGUGGGGAAUAUUGGACAAUGGGCGAAAGCCUGAUCCAGCAAUGCCGCGUGAGUGAAGAAGGUCUUCGGAUUGUAAAGCUCUUUCACGGGUGAAGAUAAUGACGGUAACCCGAGAAGAAGCCCCGGCUAACUUCGUG